rnacentral:lncRNA from 1 species
CUUGCAGGCCAUCGCCUGCGCUGUGGGGGUUAGUGUGAGCCUGGGCCGGGGUGAGCCGGGAGGGUGGGUGGGUCGGCGCCCGCUCGCUCUGGAGGGGGUACACGGGUCGGAGGGAGGGCAUGCUGCCUGCUGGCUUGUCUGUUGACGCGGGUCCGUUUUCAUUACAUAGUCAUGGGGAGAGGGCUUUGGCAAGCAGCCUUCUCCGUUCCAGUGGUUAGGGCCCUUGCCUGGCGAGCUGAAGACCUGGGUUCGGUUCCUCCCUCCGGCUCCACUUUAUUUUUUUCAGGUGGCCGCACGUCUAAUUAAAGAGUCAUGGGGCCCAGAGCAGCAGUGGCUUCCAGAAGUCUCCUGUAGCACAUUGGAUUGGGUGCUGUUCCUGGGAGGAUUCUCCAUCCCUAAACCAGACCUGAUCUCCUGCCUGGAGCUGAGGGACCCUACAUGUGCCCAGACUGCGGGAAAGGAUUCAGCCUCCGCUUCAGUCUUGCCAUACAUUGAAGAGUCCACACAAGCAAGCGCCCCUUCUUGUGUCCUCACUGUGGGAUGGGCUUCAAUCGGAGAGCCAAACUCACCUCGCACCAGAGCACCGGCAGUGGGGACCGACCCACCUGCAAGCGGCUGGCACAGCACGGGAGGGCCCGGGCUGGGGAGAAGCUCUGCGUCUGUGCCGGCUGCGGGACACAGUUCAUGGACAAGUUUCAGAGCCGCGUUAGUCUGUUUUCAACAAAUCAAUGAGUAAACCUGUGGCACUUUAGAGACUAACAAAAAAAAUUGUUGGGGUGGGGAGGGCGUAAGCUUUCGUGGGCUGGACCCCACUUUGUCAGAGCCAUGAAGUAUUGAUCUUCUGUGUUUUAACGGUUCUGAACUUUAACUCUUUGAAUCUCAAUAUCUACUGUCAUUUAAUAACUAUUGCCUAGUCCCUCCUGUUGUCUACCCCCCCCCCCAUGCCCACUCCCAACACACAAUUUUCCUCACUGUGAAAAUAAUAAAAAUACAAUAAAAUCAGUGAAAUGCUU